UUACCAAGCAUCUGGAUUUUGAUCAUGUGACCAUGGGGAUAAUGCAAUGGUCAUAAAUGUGAAAAACAGGCAUAAGUCACUUUUUUCAGUGUGUUGUAAUUUUGGAAGGUCACUAAUUGAGCUAUUGUAAGUCAAUAACUACCUGUAUUAAAACC